rnacentral:tRNA from 1 species
UGGAGAUAUAACUCAGUUGGUAGAGUGCUUGCCUUGCAUGCACAAGGCCCUGGGUUCAAUCCCCAGCACUACAA